rnacentral:rRNA from 1 species
GAUGAACGCUGGCUACAGGCUUAACACAUGCAAGUCGAGGGGAAACGACGGGGAAGCUUGCUUCCCCGGGCGUCGACCGGCGCACGGGUGAGUAACGCGUAUCCAACCUGCCUCUGACUGAGGGAUAACCCGUCGAAAGUCGGCCUAAUACCUCAUGGUAUCGUCUGCGGGCAUCCAACGACGAUUAAAGAUUUCAUCGGUCAGGGAUGGGGAUGCGUCUGAUUAGCUUGUUGGCGGGGUAACGGCCCACCAAGGCUACGAUCAGUAGGGGUUCUGAGAGGAAGGUCCCCCACAUUGGAACUGAGACACGGUCCAAACUCCUACGGGAGGCAGCAGUGAGGAAUAUUGAGCAAUGGGCGAGAGCCUGAACCAGCCAAGUAGCGUGCAGGAAGACGGCCCUAUGGGUUGUAAACUGCUUUUAUGCGGGGAUAAAGUGAGGGACGUGUCCCUCAUUGCAGGUACCGCAUGAAUAAGGACCGGCUAAUUCCGUG